UGGCAUUCCUCAAAUGUUGCCAUCGAGACAAGACAUUUCAACUCUUAAUUGUUGGCGGCCUACAUAAGAGGUGUUAUUUCUUUCCAAUUGCUGAAUAUGGAAUUGGAACACCAAUUGAUUUGUACUGUAAAGAAAGAUCAGCUUUGUGCAUAAAUUCUGUACAACUUGAAGGCGCUGUCUAGACUUUUGGAGGCUCUCGGCCGAACUGUGUACAUAGUAGUUAUCCUGACAAACUUGAUCCAGGAACAUUUGCUCCCAAGUGUAGGCCCAUGUUUCUGACCUGGUCUUGAUAGAAUUUUUAAGAUAGAGAAAGAUGAACAAAUUUUGAGAUUCUCGA
rnacentral:misc_RNA from 1 species